GGCAACCUUCUGAUUACUUGCCCGACUCCCUCACCGCUCAGCCAUCUGACUCCCGACAUAUGCUUUAUUUGAAUCCACAAUUUAAAUUAAUUGGGCAUAAAAAAGGAGGGAGGGAAUUCCUAAAUGUUGAAAGAUGCUUAGGGGUAUUAUUCAUGCUGAACUUCCCACUAAAACAGGGCGUUGUCCUUCCAGCUAUACCUGAAUCCUCUUUUGGGCGUGCCAGGAACAGGAACCUCAUGACACUGUCUGAUCAUCAGAGCAGUCUGUCAUUACUGUUCUAUGGGUUUAAAAUAACUGGAUUGUUAUGUAGCUUUUGAAUGACACAAAAUGACCCUGUCCUGAAAUGAGUUCAAUGACAGUGAAUGGCAAUACUAUUCGGAAAUUACAAUACUAUUUUAAUAUUAGCCAACAUUUCAAAAUACAGGCAAGUUUAAAUGACCACGUCCUGAUUUUAAUGAAUUUACAUUUGGGUCAGCAAACAUAAAUAGGGUGUAGCUACUGAGUACGCCUAUGUUGGGCCGAUUCCAUAAACGCUAACGAGUCAGUUAUGGAAUGUGUGUUACGUGUGAAAUUAUUAAUUUGGGUGUUGCGCCAGAAAGAACGACGUAAUUGUUAUGCUUUUAUGACGCACACGUCCGUCAAAACAGGUACAUUAUUUGAAUACAGCACCAUUGUAAAAUCACGCAGUUGGUGUUUUAUAAAUAAGCGGGCCAGGCACGUAGUCAAAUGUUAUUCUCAUCCUAGCCUUGUAGAUAAGGCAGUUGGAUCAUUUUAGUUAAUUGCGCCUUGUUAGAGAUCUUAAUUUAGUUUUAUUUAUUAUACCUAAACACUAUGUGCUUGAAAUUAUUUAAUGGGACUUUAGCGUAGUCAUCAAGCCAGCAGACGGCGGAAAAGUACACUCUUCGUCGUUUCCAGAAAACUGUGGACAAGACAAGUAUGGUGGUCUUAAACUUUUCAUCAAAAUCUCGUCAAGCUGUUAGAUGAGUAACAUGAAAACAAACCUGCUUUGCUGAAGUCUAAGAAACUCCAGCUACUUAUCCAGCAAUGUUUUUUUUUGAAAAGUACGUUCAGGACCACACCCUCCAGAUUCCAACAUCAUUAUCAUCAUCGCGAAGAUCUGCAUUUGUUUUCAUCCUGUGUUAUUUUGCAGAUGGUAUCUUAAUCUCAGUUGAAAGGCUGAGACCACAAUGCUUUGAUUCAAAGAGGAUGCCAAUCUCAUCUGAAUGACAUAUUUUUGUACAGAUACCAGAUGCUUUUCAGUACCUCAGUGCAUUCUUUAAAGGUAAACUAAAAAUGAUCCUCUUCCUAUUCACAGACAACACAAACACAAUACAACUCCGCCUCAUGAUUGGCUAAUUACAUGGUCAUUACGUGAGUCAGGGAGGAAGGACGACACUGUGAAAAGUCAAUAAUAAGCUUGGAUGGACUUGUAUUAAGUUUGUUGUGUUGUCUGUGAACGGACAGCCGGGUCGACGGCCGCGUCACUUUGCCAGUUUACUUUUAAAAUUCCACCAGACCAUCUUCCAAACUUAAAUGAGAAAAUUUUCCAAAACUGAAAACAAAGAAUGAGCUUGAUUUGGUAAGUUUUCACUGACUUGAAAUUGCUCAAUUAUGAUUUUUUUGCUUAGAAAUGUAUCUUAAAUCGCAAUAUCGAGAUAAAAAAUGUACUCUGCUGUUGCAUAGGCGUUGCAGACUAAACAUAAUAACGUAAACAAGAUUGAACUCUAACUAAUAAUUGACUUUUAAUAUUGAAAUGAGGAUUUAUUUUUAUUGUAGUUGUUAGUUAGGUAGAAAUGUACACACCAAAUGGAGAUAUCUAGAUAGUAGCUGCAUUAAUCACUGCAUGGUAUUGCCAUUUUUACAUUUAAUUAGUUUCCUAGAUGUAUGCUCACCAGAUUGAGGUAGAUAGAUAGGAGAUACAUAGUUGUAUUAUAUAUGUAUAUAUUACUCAUGUACUUAUGUUUGACUUUGGAACGACUUACUCCUGUCUUCUAUCUAAUUUCCUGUUCUUACCUUCUGUACAGACCACCACUCUGUAAUUGAAGAGGAUUUUGUGAUGGUUAUCUUGUCAACAGUACCACAUAAAUAUUAACUUCCUCAAGUUACAAUUAACAAACCGCAAUCAAAAUGUCUCUUCAUGAGUGACAUGAGUUGCUUGGUACAGAUUUCCCUUACCAGUCUUUCUACUCUGUAUUUUUCCAGUCUAAAGUCUGCAUCCAAGAAAGAUUUCAAGAAGUAAACAAUCGCCUACAUUUUGCUCAUCUUCAAGAGGAUCAACCUUUUACUUUUUCACCUGACAUGUCCGUACUAUUCCUUGAAGCGCGCGCAACCUGGAGUUUUGAACACCCUACACACGUCCUUGGGUCAUCAUGACUAAUACACCUGCCGUAUUUUUACUUAAUAUAGAGCCCGGUUCUCGAGAUAUUCAAGCUACAGACACACACACACACAGAGCUGUGUGCCUUUAUGGUUAAAAAAAUAUUCCCUUCCGUUCUUUUUUCAGCUUGCAUUCCGUUCUGCUCUGUGGGAUCAUUUGACACAAACUUUUGAAAAAUGGUUCGCAUGGGUGAAUUUCCUUGGUUAUUUGCAACAAAUGAAUUAGGUAAUUCAGAAUAGAUUAUCUUGUUGUUGUUUUUUGUCUCAAAUAACCAAACAGAAGAACAGCAGAACGGUGUGUGAGUAGAACCAGUGAACGUCUAUUAAAUGAAAGCUUUGUAAGUAGGUGCUGCCCUGGGUAAACUAUUAUGUUCGAAACAAAUAUACAACAAUAAUAACGUGGGCGCGCCCUUCAUACUGUUCAAACCACUCAAAUGAUGACUUGUUGACAAAUGAUGACAGAUUUCUUCAAGCUCAGAGGAUAUGACGAAACUAGAUCUUGUGAGUUUUUUGGAUUGUUUUCACUCAAGCAUAACUUUAGUUAUAUUUAUUUAGUUUAGUUAGUUAGCUAGAUUUCUACUGACCAGAUAUUUAUAUUGGUGCAUAGUAACUAAAUUACAAUUGCAAAUAGAAAGCAAACAAAUGCAUUGCAAUUUGUUUUACAGUACAAUAUACCUCAUGUAUGUAGGACUCUAUAAUGAUUAUUGAUCAAAACCAAUUUACAGUCUAUUGUUUCAUAUUGACACUUUUUCUCAUCUUUACAGACAACAGCCCACUCACUUCAAAAGAAUCCGCAUUCGACAAGACUACAGGCUGGCAGACUGCAUCCAAGAUCGAUUUAUAAAAGGAAACGGUGUCAACAGGAACAGUUUCGUACAUUUUGCAAGUCUACAAGAGGAUCUGCAUUCUACAUCCAUAUUAAUCCACGACGUGUGCAAACCUGGAUCAUUUUAAACGUGAUUCUCAGUAAGAUGAUUAGGAGGUUGAGAUUGCAAUGCCUCGACAGCUACAUCAUGUUACUGAAUAUCAAGUACAAAUCUACCCUACAUAGGGGAGAAGCACUGUGCUCUCUGCCUUCUCAACUCUGUAGAUGUAAAUUAGUGCUUUUUAAAGGGACACUCAACAGGAUACAGUUGUUAUUGGCUCUUUGCAAUGACAGUGUUACUAAAAAAGCAGAUUUCAAUUGUGAGGAGUCAAUAAUAAUAGGAGGACGUUAGUUGGUUAAACUCACUCCUUAGUAUCAAUACUACCUUCCUGCGUUGUUAAGUUGUUUGCGGUUCAGUGUUGUAGCUGGAUAAACGUUGUUUAUGAGUGGUGGUCGGUCGUGUACCCAUGUCGGAAAACACAAGAUCAGAUCCAGGAGUGGAAGGAAGCAACAUUUUCGAGAAACACAAUUACAUGUGUGAUGAUUGACUAAGUUUUCACUAAAAGUAUUUCCAUCUCAAAUGAAGCCAUUUUUUCAACCUCAGAAGACUCACUCCACUUACAACAGGGAAUGGGGUAAAUUGAUAUUGGCAUGAGUACAUCAUUUGUUUGACGAACUUCAUGAAACCUUUCUAGUUAGUUAACUGUCCACUGGCGAGAUAAAAAUAGAUAUAAUUGCAUAAUAUAUUACUAAUUUCACAGUAGAUUGUACCUCACAUAUGUAAGGCUUUAGGGUACCUGUUGAAACUUCUGUGUAAUCUCCUGUUCUUAUCUUCUCUGCAGAUUACCCACUCCGUAUUUGAGGAAAACCUUUAGAUGUUCAUCUUUUCAAAAGAACCACUUCAAUCAUAUCAGCUAAACUGCUUCAAUUUACCAUUACAAUCCACACUAUACAUUUCUGUUUCUGAGAAUCAGCAUAUGACACCAAUUGAGUUGUAGGCCUACACAUUUCACUAACCAGUCUUUCUACUCUACAUUUCUACAGCCUAAGGCCAUGUUUUUUUGAGCGCCUUUUCAGAAAAGCGCUGGGUGACGUCAAGCUAACGAGAAUUUUAUAACCUGAACGGGAAUCAUAUAGUCUAGCAAUACAUUAUUAUCCGUUAUUUUCCAUUGGUUACUUAUCGACAGCUAGCUACUAUGGCCAAUAAAAUGCAAUUACUUGCUUUAGCUUUGGCGUUUGAGGAGCCAUAGCCUAGUAACUAAGGUAGAAGGUUACUAGGGAAGGUACACUCGUACCUACUCUCCUCGUCCUGUCAAAAAGGCGCUUGACGUCACCCAGCGCUUUUCUGAAAAAUUGAACUCAAAAAGGCGUCGGGCUCAGCGUUUUUUUUAGAAGUUUUUAAAAGGCGGUUACUUAAAAAAAAAAAAGGCGGACGCCUUUUUCCUUUUCCCAUAGGGUUGCAUGUAAAAAGGCGCUGAAGGCAGCGUUUUUUUCUGAAAAAAGAAGUCAAGUGUGAACACGGCCUAAAGUCUGCAUCCAAGAACAAUUUCAAGAAGUAAACAAUGUCCACAGAAACAAUCGCCUACAUUUUGCAACUCUUCAAGAGGAUAGGCAUUUUACUGUUUCACCAGACCUUUUUUGGCCAAACUAUUCUGUAAACUGCGCAACAUGGAGAUUUUCGAACGUGAUUCUCAGUAACAUGGCAAAGUGACUGAGACUGAUAUCUCAACAGCUUUCUCAUCUUACUGAAUGCAGUAAGAUUUGUUAGCAGUUUACCAACAGUUGAAAGUUAGCUUGUGUGGGUGAAUUUACUUAGCCUGGUCCUAACCAGACUCUCGUACAUUUCAUUUGUACAGAGAGUCUGGCCUCGCUCCAUUGACGAGCGUUG